rnacentral:rRNA from 1 species
AGAGUUUGGUUGUAGCUGGCUCCUAAUUAAACUUGGGGGCAUGUGCACACCUUUCUCUUUCAUCCCAUACACACCUGUGCACCUGUGAGACAGAUGUUUUGUGGGGGGGAAGGAACUUUAUUGGACCUUCUACUCCCCCUUGACUUCUGUCUACUUAAUUCAUAUAAACUCAAUUUAUUUUAAAACGGAUGUAAUGGAUGUAACACAUCUAAUACUAAGUUUCAACAACGGAUCUCUUGGCUCUCGCAUCGAUGAAGAACGCAGCGAAAUGCGAUAAGUAAUGUGAAUUGCAGAAUUCAGUGAAUCAUCGAAUCUUUGAACGCACCUUGCGCUCCUUGGUAUUCCUUGGAGCAUGCCUGUUUGAGUAUCAUGAAAUCUUCAAAGUCAAACCUUUUGUUAAUUCAAUUGGUUCUGCUUUGGUAUUGGAGGAUUAUUGCAGCUUCACACCUGCUCCUCUUUGUGCAUUAGCUGGAUCUCAGUGUUAUGCUUGGUUCCACUCAGCGUGAUAAGUUAUCUAUCGCUGAGGACACCCUGUUAAAAAGGGGUGGCCAAGGUAAAUGCAGAUGAACCGCUUCUAAUAGUCCAUUGACUUGGMCAAUAUCUAAUUUAUGACUGAUCUCAAAAUCAAGUAGGACUACCCG